rnacentral:lncRNA from 1 species
GUUGCCUUCAUUUCGGCAUCAUUCGGGAUAGAUUUCGAAGUAAAACAAAUCUGUAGCUACAUCUCCGAUGUAGAAAGUCUAAUGGUACCAAUUGUCUAUUUAGUUUUGUCUCGUUUACAAUGGAGGCCAAGGGACUUGCAUUUAUUCACCACCCAAGAUGGAGGCAAUCUCUACUCAGACAGGUGUGACAUUCUGUGAGGAGGCACCGUACAGACCUACAAAGGACCAAUCUGUUAUUACAUCUACAACAGAGGAGAAAGUUAAGGACCUUUACCCUAAUUUACGGUGUAAUGUAUGAGGUUCACAGAUUUGAAAAAAGGGCAAAUGGUAGUUACAUGAAUACUCUAUGAUGUUCUAGCACACAACUUUGAUAUUUGUUUGCAAAAUCUGAAAAGGUUUAAAAUUGCCCUACGUAUAUCCUGUAAAGUGAGUCAAAUAGUGACGAGGUACGGACUUGGUCUAGCAAAAAUCUGAGAAAUCUAGAAAAGCUAUUUGCAAUACCUGAUGUUGCAGGUCAAGCCCAAAAAACGAAAGCAGUUAUUUUAGCUGUUCUUGAAAGAAUGUCUGAAAUAAAUCUCAGAAAGAAAAGGAUACAUCAGGCCAAAAAUAUAGAGCAGAUGAAAUAUCAGACGAUGGCCAGCUCCAUCUGCUUGACAUGCCUGGGACCUAAAGCAAGACUGGUAUCUCCUCAUCAUGCUAAAGAAACUAUCUCUAAUGAGACUUAUCUGGUACAGUGCACUGAUAAAGCAGCCAUACUUAGCCAGGUAAAUGGACUUGCAGAUAUUUGCAUUAAGGAAGAGUCUGAUCUGCACUGAAGGAUCAUAGAGCAAGCCUCAGACUCUGGUAACAGCCAAGUAGACCUAUACUACUGUUCAAAAGUUUGGGGUCACUAAGAAAUAUCCUUUUUUUCCAUGAAAACAUACAUGAAAUGAGUUGCAAUGUCACGACUUCCGCCGAAGUCGGUUCCUCUCCUUGUUCGGGCGGCGCUCGGGGGUCGGCGUCGCCGGUCUUCUAGCCAUCAUCGAUCGACCUUUCAUUUUCCAUUUGUUUUGUCUUGUCUUCUCACACACAUGGUCUCAAUUUCCCUCAUUACAUGUUGUGUAUUUAACCCUCUGUUCCCCCCAUGUCUUUGUGCGGAAUCGUUUAUUGUUAAUGCAUGUGCACGUGCACGGUUUCUCUGGUGCGCGACGGGUUUUGUACCCAUUUGUUUGUGGUUCUGGUUACCGGUGGUUUUAUGAAUAAAACUGCUCCGUUGAUUACCAAGUUUUGCUCUCCUGCUCCUGACUUCCCUGCCGCCAGUUACGCACUCCCUUACAGAAUUCCGCACCGACUAAUUUCUGGCCAUUUUGAGCCUGUAAAUAAACCCACAAAUGCUGGUUCUCCAGAUACUCAGCUAGUCUAAAGAAGGCCAGUUUUAUUGCAUUUUUAAUCAGAACAACAGUUUUCAGCUUUGCUAACAUAAUUGCAAAAGGGUUUUCUAAUGAUCAAUUAGCCUUUUAAAAUGAUAAACUUGGAUUAGCUAACACAACAUGCCAUUGGAACACAGUAGUGAUGGUUGCUGAUAAUGGGCCUCUGUAUACAAAUGUAGAUAUAUUCCAUAAAAAAUCAGCCGUUUCCAGCUACAAUAGUAA